UACCAGCUCUCCGAGUGGUAGGGAUGUUUAUUGGGCUUAAAGCGUCCGUAGCCGGCUUAGCAAGUCUCCUGUUAAAUUCAGCGACCCAAUCGUUGAGCCGCGGGAGAUACUACUAGGCUAGGAGGCGGGAGAGGUCAACGGUACUUCCGGGGUAGGGGUGAAAUCCUAUAAUCCCGGGAGGACCACCAGUGGCGAAGGCUGUUGACUAGAACGCGCUCGACGGUGAGGGACGAGAGCUGGGGGAGCGAACCGGAUUAGAUACCCGGGUAGUCCCAGCUGUAAACGAUGCGAGCUAGGUGUUGGGGUGGCUACGUGCCACUUCAGUGCCGCAGGGAAGCCAUUAAGCUCGCCGCCUGGGGAGUACGGCCGCAAGGCUGAAACUUAAAGGAAUUGGCGGGGGAGCACCACAAGGCGUGAAGCUUGCGGUUC
rnacentral:rRNA from 1 species